GGUAGGUUUAGAGAUAGGGGUAGGGGUAGGGGUAGGGUUAGGGGUAGGGUUAGGAAUAGGGUUAGGGUUACCAUACCCCCUACCCUAACCCUAACCCUACUCCAACCACUAACCCUAACCCUACCCCAACCA